UACAGAGGUCCCAAGCGUUGUUCGGAUUCAUUGGGCGUAAAGGGUGCGUAGGCGGCGCGGUAAGUCGGGUGUGAAAUCUCGGAGCUUAACUCCGAAACUGCAUUCGAUACUGCCGUGCUUGAGGACUGGAGAGGAGACUGGAAUUUACGGUGUAGCGGUGAAAUGCGUAGAUAUCGAGAGGAACACCUGCGGCGAAGGCGGGUAGCUGGGCCGACACUGACGCUGAGGCGCGAAAGCCAGGGGAGCGAACGGG
rnacentral:rRNA from 1 species